UAAGGAAUAUUGGGCAAUGGGAGCAAUCCUGACCCAGCCAUCCCGCGUGUGGGACGAAGGCGCUCAGCGUCGUAAACCACUUUUGCGUAGGAAGAAUGGCGUGCACUUGUGUGCGUUUAACGGUACUACGAGAAUAAGCACCGGCUAACUCCGUGCCAGCAGCCGCGGUAAUACGGGGGGUGCGAGCGUUAUCCGGAAUUACUGGGUUUAAAGGGUGCGUAGGCGGCUGCGUAAGUCUGUGGUGAAAGGCCAGGGCUCAACCUUGGGACUGCCGUGGAUACUGCGUGGCUUGAGUUAGGAUGAGGUUGGCGGAAUGCGGCAUGUAGCGGUGAAAUGCAUAGAUAUGCCGUAGAACACCGAUUGCGAAGGCAGCUGACUGGACCUAAACUGACGCUGAGGCACGAAAGCGUGGGGAGCGAACGGGAUUAGAUACCCGGGUAGUCC
rnacentral:rRNA from 1 species